GAACAGCAGAUUGUUGUCUCAAGCCAGUGCUGAUCAAUGACCGUUUAGCUGCAGUCUGUCAGAGAAGAGAGGAAAGAUGAGUCUCUCACAGAAACAGAGAGAUAUCACCGUAUACUACAAUGAAGCACUUGACUCAAAACCAAAUGCAUUUUAUAUCAGUUGGUGGCGGUAAUGAGGAGUGAGGUUGCCAAGCCAAGAAACACCAGAGAAGAAGAAGAAGAACUACGCACAGAUUGAAAGAGAAAACUUUGCUCGUUGGAUUAGAUCCGUUUUAUCAAUAAACAUUUGUACAGGAAAAUACAAGUGAGGAGUAGGUGAAGUAUAUUCCAGACUCCACAAGGACGUGUCACACUGAACAGCAGAUCGUUGUCUCAAGCCAGUGCUGAUCAAUGACAGUUUAGCUGCAGUCUGUCAGAGAAGAGAGGAAAGAUGAGUCUCUCACAGAAACAGAGUGUAAGAUCAGGAUCACAUGUGUCUGUGAAGAGUGACCGGUCAAAGGGUAAAGUACCGAACUUCAGUGAGAAAAAAACAUCUAUCAAAAGGUAUUUAUUAUCUUUGACAUUAUAAUGUUGUGUUGGCUUAUUUCUCCACUAAGAUGCUUGUGAUAGAAAUGAACGAAAUAAAACCAUAAAUGACUGAUUUCCUCUUUAUUGAACUCAGUUUGGAGCUUCUUUCCAGUAACACAAUCACACAAGCAGACACAAGGAGGUAUAAAUUAACCAUGGAAAAUAGAUCAUGCAGCCAAACAUGAAUAUGUCUUUACAUCUCUCCAUAGUCAUAGAUGGACAAAUGCAUGUCUAUACAGUGCUUCAUUACUAUCCUCAACAGUGAAGCUCUUUAAAUGAGACUGAAGGAGCUCCUGUAGUAAAGUGUUUUGUUCUUUGUG